CCCAAAGAAUUUGGCGGUAUUUCAUUCCAUUCAGAGGAACCUAUCUCGUAAUUGAUAGUACACGAUUAACUUUACUUGAUUUAUUUGUUUGUAUAUCUCCGUUAUCAGAAAAUCUUUUUGGAGCUAUAAUUUUCCUGUUUUUUCAUUAAAAUUUAUUUCAGGUCAAGGUGCAGCUUAUAAUCAAGUGUGUGAUGGGUUACAAUAAAUUUUUUUAUUAUGGAUUUAAUUUUGAAAUUUUUUAAUGAAGGUGGAUUUGAUAGUAAUUUAAUUUAUUUAAUUUAAUUGAUAUUGGCUCU
rnacentral:rRNA from 1 species